rnacentral:rRNA from 1 species
AAGAGACAGCAGCAGCCACGGGAAUACAGAGGGUGCGAGCGUUAAUCGGAUUUACUGGGCGUAAAGCGUGCGUAGGCGGCUAAUUGAGUCGGAUGUGAAAUCCCCGAGCUUAACUUAGGAAUUGCAUUCGAUACUGGGAAGCUAGAGUAUGGGAGAGGAUGGUAGAAUUCCAGGUGUAGCGGUGAAAUGCGUAGAGAUCUGGAGGAAUACCGAUGGCGAAGGCAGCCAUCUGGCCUAAUACUGACGCUGAGGUAAGAAAGCAUGGGGAGCAAACAGGAUUAGAUACCCCCGUAGUCCCUGUCUCUUAUAC